rfam:Citrus clementina cultivar Clemenules unplaced genomic scaffold scaffold_9, whole genome shotgun sequence.
AUACCAUGAUGGGGACACCUUCUGAGCAAGUCCUUGAAUCUUUCUCAAGCCUCAUACAAACUCUCAUCUUCCAGUUGAUGGAAGGAAGUAAUCUCAUUCCGCAACUU